UGGAGACUAUGAUUCUGCCAGAGGAACAGGACAAUGAUGUGAUUCAUUGGUUGGAUGUAGACACUUUAGGACUUAUCCUGAAAGUGCAUUUGCAUGAUUUGAAAAUAUAAGCACCAAAUCAUUUUGCCAAUACAACCAGGAAGUACGAAUUUCAUUGUGAGAAUGAAAAGAGGUUGCCACUAUGGAAGAAAAUGAUUUAACUUGUCUACAGACAUUCUUU